GUGUCAGCCGCCGCGGUAAUACGAACCGUCCAAACGUUACUCGGAAUCACUGGGCUUAAAGGGUGCGUAGGCCGCUCGGAGGGUGGGAUGUGAAAUCCCCCAGCUCAACUGGGGAAUAGCGUCCCAAACCGCCGGGCUUGAGGGAGACAGAGGUCAGCGGAACUGAUGGUGGAGCGGUGAAAUGCGUUGAUAUCAUCAGGAACACCAGUGGCGAAAGCGGCUGACUGGGUCUUUCCUAACGCUGAGGCACGAAAGCUAGGGGAGCGAACGGGAUUAGAUACCCUCGUAGUCC
rnacentral:rRNA from 1 species